AAUUUUCUCUAAACCGGUACAAACCGUGAUUUUUCUUUUGGACUUGUCAAAAAAGAUUUUGCUUUUUUCCUAAUUCCUACUAAUGAACUGAUAGUAUUUUGUGAAAACCUGGAAACAUUCUGAAUUUGAAGCUUUUAGAUUUCAAGUGCUCCAUGCAAUUGCUGCUUUAAAGGUGUCUUUUUUUAUUACUUUCAUUGAGUUCAAGCUCACUAUUUUCUCUAUCUUCUUCAAGAUUUCCUCGUCUGAGGUGGCUUACUUCUCAACAGAGAAGUACAGAGUUCAGACUUGCUUCCGAGAAAUAGAAAAUCCUUCUCUUCCCCUCCCCCCUCCCACCAGUAAACCCUGUUUUUGGUACAUAGGAGGAAAACGUAUCUGUUAGAUGACAUUGAUUUUGUCUUGUUACAGUAUUAUUUUUCCUAUGCCUUCCAUGCCAAGCUCUGAGAUUCACGCGUCGAAUGUAUUUAGUUUUAACUGUAUUGGCUCUUUCACUCCAAUAUAUUUGAUGAAGGAUGUGUAUGAUUUUGCCCUAGCAUUGAUGUUAUCUCAUUCCUUGCAGCUGAACUUUUUGUCAAUGGAGAGAUAGUUCAGAGAUCACCUGAACGACAGAGGAGAGUAGAGCCUGUCCCUCAGCGUAACGACAGAAUAAGACCCAAUAGGUACAACAGGCGCAGAGAUAACAUAUGAAAGAGAUCACCUGAACGACAGAGGAGAGUAGAGCCUGUCCCUCAGCGUAACGACAGAAUAAGACCCAAUAGGUACAACAGGCGCAGAGAUAACAUGCGAUGAAUUAUAUACAAUGUAAGGAAGGUUCAGGCGGGUUGGAGUUGUAAGCACGGUUCUG
rnacentral:lncRNA from 1 species